GGGAGAGCUCAGCUGCAGUGUGCACUACCACACCAGUGACUGCCCGGCUCUCUUGCUCUUUAUAUUUCCUCUGCUGCACUGGGAGCUGCCGUGGUGGUGGUGGUGGUGGGGUUGGUGGUGGUGCUGCCGUCUGAAUGGCCGUGAGUUGGAGUCUGUGGCUGAGGCUCUGGGGCUGUGGAUGUCACUGCUAUCUUCCAGUCCAUGGUCCUGCUCCUGGCCCUGCUGACAGCCAGCUGUUGAAGGUGUGUCUAACAGAGGGAUUGGGAAGCAGCAGCAGCAGACUCGGGACCAGUCAGAUCUUGGUUUGAGUGACAGUCCCGACACCUAAUGACUGAACUUUCACUGCCUCAGAUGGGCCCACGGUUAGAGAUGAUCGCCGGGGUUACAUCCCAACGUGUGGGUUUGGGCCUGAAAGACGUGCCAGACCUGCUGCCAAAGCAUCGGCCUCCACCUCACCCUGCAGACAUGGCUGAACACACACGCAUGCAUACACACACAAACACGCACAUACACGGCCUUUAAAAUCACACAUAUCUCUUAUAUGUGUUCUCAAGUGUUACUUUACUUCCUCAUAUUUCCAUACAUCCACCAUGCAUAUGUAUGUGUGUCCUUUUUCCAGCGUGUACACACGCAAACGCACAUUCUUUGCAUCUCUACGCUCUGUCUAUUUUCUGUCUGUGAUGACGGAGCCGUCACACAUGCCUCGUGUCGGACGUAGACACGAUCGAGCCACAUUCACACGGUCUUCCAUCACAAACAUAAACACACGCAUGCGUUCGGUUUGUCAGUUGUGUCUCAGGCAUGCCCUAUUUUUAAAACUGUACGCACACCUACACACAUUCUCCCAUGCUUGGGACACACCCACUGCAGCCUGUGUCAUGCUGUGAGACUGUCCUCGUCUUGGAGAGCACCCUGCACGGUUGUAAGGCAGGGGAAAUUAGUCAGGUGAAGUAAAUCUUGACACCUGACACUAGUGGU